AUUGAACGCUGGCGGCAUGCUUUACACAUGCAAGUCGAACGGUAACAGGCCGCAAGGUGCUGACGAGUGGCGAACGGGUGAGUAAUGCAUCGGAACGUGCCCAGUCGUGGGGGAUAACGCAGCGAAAGCUGCGCUAAUACCGCAUACGAUCUAUGGAUGAAAGCGGGGGACCGUAAGGCCUCGCGCGAUUGGAGCGGCCGAUGUCAGAUUAGGUAGUUGGUGGGGUAAAGGCUCACCAAGCCGACGAUCUGUAGCUGGUCUGAGAGGACGACCAGCCACACUGGGACUGGGACACGGCCCAGACUCCUACGGGAGGCAGCAGUGGGGAAUUUUGGACAAUGGGCGCAAGCCUGAUCCAGCAAUGCCGCGUGCAGGAAGAAGGCCUUCGGGUUGUAAACUGCUUUUGUACGGAACGAAACGGUCCUGGUUAAUACCUGGGGCUAAUGACGGUACCGUAAGAAUAAGCACCGGCUAACUACGUGCCAGCAGCCGCCGUAA
rnacentral:rRNA from 1 species